CGCACAUUGCGCCCGCCAGUAUUCUGGCGGGCAUGCCUGUUCGAGCGUCAUUUCAACCCUCAAGCCCCCGCGCUUGGUGUUGGGGACCAGCCCCCGUCGUCAAGACAGGCUGCCCCCUAAAUACAGUGGCGGUCGCGCUGUGGAAUCCUCUGCGUAGUAGAAAACACCUCGCCCUGGAGACCUCGCGCGGCCCGGCCGUAAAACCCCCAACUUUCUCAAGGUUGACCUCGAAUCAGGUAGGAAUACCCGCUGAACUUAA
rnacentral:misc_RNA from 1 species